GAGCGCUCCUGGUGUCUGCACCUCUCUCUUCUAUUACACUCACAAAGAUGUAACUUUGGCUCAAGCUACUGAACUUUGGCACCAGGCAAUAAGCCACCUUCUCUGGAUGCCUAAGGUUGGAUAGAUCCCUAAGGACAAACGAGUUGGACUGAUAAAUGGCAAGAAAAACGUGAGUGAAGCAGUGCAGUGGAUGCCGUCACCAAAGUGGGGUAACUGAGAUGGCAGAGACCUGCUCAAAGGGCUCAGAGUGCAUUAUGUCUAGUGCAGGACAGCACGGUGAACAUCCAGGAACUGGUGAAACCAACUGCACUGUCAGAACAACCUGUGUGCUGUCAUUUGUAAAGGUGCUGUAAGUAAAACAGCUCUUGUUGUAAUGUGCAGGCUCUGGCCUUCAGAGAAACAGGAUCCGAGACAUUUAU